rnacentral:lncRNA from 1 species
UAACUUCUUUGGAUUUGAAUUUCUUCUGUCAGCAAUAGGAGAGAAGUUCAGUCAGAUGAUUUCUAUCUGUGGGAAUCCAACUUUGACUUGUGGUGAUCCUACCCCUUCCUCAGUCUUUUACAAAUUAAGUGGCCUCCUCACCUGAGACGAGUAGAACUGUAUGCACAGUAAGGCACCAGGACGGAUCUAGACUGGCAAAGAAGUGGUGAGAGAAAUGGGGAAAGGGUUAGGGAAGAAGGGAGAGGACUCUCAACUACAGUCAUAGUGAGACCUUGAGUGCCUCUGCGUUAGUCCUUCCUCUUCCUCUACUCCUUGUGUCUCAGCUGAAGGGCAAACUUCAGGGACAAUCUCAUUUUGUUUCUACCACUGUUCAGGGUCCCACCUUGCGACCCUCUCCUGAGAGGUUGUCCACAACUCUGUCCCACCCCCGUUCUCCAUCUUCUUCCGCCAGAUCUGGGGCUGGGGCAUUGGAGAGGGGAAAGAGGAAACGUCGUGGCUGGCAGGGUAGGAAGGGAUGCGUGUCCAGGUGAGAAAGAGGUGUGACGUGCAGAUGGGAUGCCCGCCGCUAUGACGCUGCCGAGACCCGCGGUGACUGCGUCAGAGUUUCACCCGGGGAGGUGAGCAGCAGCGGGACGGGGGAACGGCGGGGUAGCCAAGCAACGCCGGACGCGCUGACGUCGCCGGGGCGGCAAAACGUCCGCCCGGGCCCGAGGCGGGCGGAGGCAGCUGUGGUUACGUGCGGGGGGCCGGUGACGCAGUCGCGGGGCGCUGGGACGCGGCUUGCGGAGCCGGCCGGCGAGCGCAGGCCCCAGGCUCGGGCGCGGCGGCGGGACAGCACCUACCUUCCCGGCUUCGGGUCCGGGAGUGCGGGGCGCGGAGCCGCCGGAGCGCUGCCUCCCUCCUUCCUCCUCCCCUCGCCCCCGCCCCGCGGCGCGACACACAAUACUCGCCGGAAGCGGAAGCCGCGCCGAGGCUCGUGUCAGUGGAAGCUGGGGUGUCGGCGGGCGGCCGCGGCCGGGUCUAGCGGUGCCUGCGGAAGAAGGAGGAGGAGGGCUGGCGAUGAGAAGCAGCAGGGGGAAUCAAGGGCAAGAAGGGACCCAGAGGGGCAGGUGGCUGAGAUGCUGGCGUCCAGGUGACCCGAGGAAUCCUCUGGAGAUACAGGCCCGCGCAUGCGCGUGCUCGAGCGCUGAAGCCCAUUGCCCGCAGGGCGCUGGACUGGCGCCCCGGCCGGCGAGGCUGUCUAGUCCAGGCUCCAGGCCCCGGCUCUGGCCAGGCGCCGCCGCCUCCCGGUGCAGCUGAAAGUCGACGAAGAGGGCGGGGCGGGGGCGGCUUGUGGACUUCCACACUUUUCCUCUCUUCGGGCCAGUCUGGGGAGAGGGUGGCUAGCUGUGGCGGCGGCCAAUUACGUGGCGGACCUGCGGGGCUAAGCUGGCACGUCACUUCCGACUAGUGGAGUUUUUAGCCUUUUAACAUUCAAGGAUUAGGUAAAAGUCUUGCAGUGAAAAACCCGAGGACCCUUACCGCAAGUGUCUUUUGCUCCCAGCUACUGAUACUGGAUUCCACUCGUGAUUCUCCCUUUCUUAGCGCAUUCAUGAUAUAGACAUCAGUCUCUGAGCUGGAGGAGGACAAAGGCAGCGGUCCUGUGAAUUCUAUGCUCUAGCUUGGGUUAAGGGAUUUGGAAUUGCACUUGUUUCAGAGAGCUCCCUCUUUGCCCACUAGCAGGGCAUUAGCUGGUGCUGAAGACAGUGGCUGCUUGGCGAGCCUGGAUCUCCAAGUGACCCCCUCAGCAACUCCUGAUGAACAGGACUGAAGCCAAUAUUAAAGCAAGUCAACCAAAGGUUCUCUGGUGUAGACAAGACAGCAAAAGGACAGACUACCUUGUGGAACCUAGCAUUGUUCUCCUUCUGCAGCACUAAGUAACAUUUGUUCUCCGUUAAGAUCUUUGCAAACCACACACAAGAAUUGCUGGUCAUCCUGCCAAUAGAUGCUGCUCACAGAACCAAAUUUCCUGUGCUGAAUUGUCACUCAUGGGCUUGAGAGUAGGAGACUGGAGACCAAGGUGGCUAGAAUCCAGUUGGGCCUGAUGUCUCCCUGUUGAAAGGGCUCCUUGUGGAAUGAAUAGCACAUGGCUCCUGUGGUGGAUCUGAUAGUGGCAUAGCACCAAGUGAUGCAGGCCUGCCAGGGGCCACAGACACAGAAGAUGCUCCCGGGGUCCCCCAUGUACUCCAGACACACUGCAGGCCACCUCUCCCAGCAGGUUGCCAGUCAUGGGCCCCAUCAUCAUGACUUCUGUCCAAGGUACUGUGUGCAGAAAUGUGAUUGAGAUUCAAGUCAGGGCCUCUCUGCCCUUUUCCCUCCAGAAACAAAACCAAGAUAAUUUAUCCUGAACACGGUGAAAAAAGGAAGGGAGGGAGGAGAAAAAGUCCGGGUCUCACCUGGGAUUCUCUGUCUCCUGCAACAUGAAGGAUUUAGCCUGGGAGGAGGUGGUGAGAACUCUGGGAGAGAAAAAAGAAGGAAAGAAUAGUUUUACCCAUGCUGAAGUUAAUUUAAACCUUCACCUAGAGAAGCAAAAAAAAAAAACCCACACUUUCCCAUUUUGUGCCUCCCUUCCUAGAGUUUUAGCCAAAGGUUUAGCUAAGUAAUUGGUUUUACCAGCGCACUCACUCCUCCUAUCCCAAGUCUGUUUGACUCCCUCCCCAUCAUCCUCCUCACCUCUUUUCAGGCAGGGUGGGGAUAGCAGCAGGAGGAGAUUUUGGGAGCCUGGCAACUCCUGCAAGGACCGCAGGACAGCCCCUCUGUGGGGAUGCGUGGUGCCCCAUCUGCCGCCCUUCUGAAGAAUGCACUGCCUUCACUUUUUACUGUGUUAGAGUCCAUCCAGACUGUUCUAUCCAAAAAAGUUUCUUUUUCCCCCACAGGCAAUCAGGAAAUGAUUCCUUUCCCGACUGCUUCUGUCUAGUGCCUGGGAAUCUUGAGUCAAUCCCUCAGUAAGUCAGUGACUAGGGAAAUCCCUCUCUGAGCCUCCCAGUUCAUGUUGCUUAGGGAACCUGAUAUUUUCGUGAAACCUGCCUACACAUGGGCAGCCCAACAGCAGAACAAAUGGUGGUGACCAAAGUGAACAAAGAAGUAUAGUUGUGCCAGCUUCGUAGUUGCCCAUGUGGACAAGUCAGCAGGAUCAGGACACGAGGAAGAGUAAAUGUGAGACAGUCAAUGUGACUUCUGCGAUAAACAGAUUUUUAAACCCCGAAAUUUUGCAAAAUUUUGGUGAAACCUGAACUUUCUUCGUUGCAUAUACUGGCACUAUCUGUACCAUCAUACAACUGUCUCACAUUAAAGCUAUUUUUCUUGGGCACUGAUGAGUAAGGUUGGUAUAAGUUCCUCAGAUCAACAAAAACCCAUUUUCCUGUAAGUCUUACAUUUAGUAUUUAAGGAACUAAAACUUAAAUACAUUUUGUGAAAUGGUUGACACUUCACUGAUAAUGAUUUAUUGCUUGGAUUAAUAAAUUUUCCAAAAGUUGUCUUAUGUAGAAUAUGGUUUGCAACCAGCAGAACCAUUAAUCUAUACUGCAAUGAUAUGCACUAUGUAUAAUUGUUUAAAAGCCUCUACUUAAUGAUGUAAAAUGCUCUAUUUAAUUACACAUUUGGGUAAACUGUAUACUAACAUCUGAUGGCAUUUUUCCACUGUUUGUUGCUUUUUUCAAAUACUUUAUUGUACAAAGCUGUUCUUAAUAUUUUUCAAGUUUUUUUCUUUGAAUUUUGCUAAUGUUUUCCUUGAAUUAUGAGCACUGACAGAAUGUGCUUAGCACUUUUGGCUAUUCACACAGCUUUUGAGCAUGAUUUGCAUCCAAUAUUUACAUUGCUAGCAAUAAUAAGCCAUCUGUGAGUUUUGUCAAAAGUUAUUGGGGAUUUUUUAAAUUUUAGAAAUGCAAAUUAUUGUUUCUUUGAACUAACUCUUAUGCAGUUGCAAAGGCAUUUCCAGUUGUUAUAGUUUGUGUACAAUAUCAGGUGUUCCAGAUUAUGAUUCAUUAUUAAUAUCAUUGCUUCCUUGUUCCCUCUGAGGUCCAGAAGAUUCAUGUUUACAAUAUUUAGAAACAAUGUUAAAAAGGUAUCCAAAGUUUGUCACUUUAUUAUUAGUUUGUUCUUAAUAUUCUGUUUAAGUUUUUGAAUUCAUAGAUAUCAAAACGCUGCACAAUUAUGAUUUCCACAGGAAUAACAACACACUAACAAUAAGAACCAAAAACAGCAAAUAGGCUGCCUACAAGUUUUGACAAUAUUAGGAUAAUGAUAAUGACAGUUUUUCUAAAUCUCACAGUAAAGAAUGCAGCAACCCAGCAACACUGCUACCUGUGGCCUCAGGCUGCAGUGUCAGCUCUUCCCUGGGUCUCCAGCCUGCCAGUCUAACCUGAAAAUUAUGUACUUGCCAGCCCCCACAGUCACGUGAGUGAACUGGCCCAGGCUGGUCACCAGGGUCAGUUUCUCUGUGUGUCAUUAAUUCAUUCAGUCUUCAGCAGUCUCUUUGGAGCUGAGAUGUACCUACCAUCUGCCUUUUGGGUGCUUAGGGUGGAGAACCAGAAAAGUAUAACCUAGUGUGUAUCCUCAAAGAGCUAACAAUAUGGGGUGGUACCUAUAGGUCUGGAAACACUUUACUGACUCUGUGAGGCAUACCAGGAGACGUCAGAGAACAGUCCCUCCUCAAAUGCCAAAUGAGAUGCAGAAGAAAUAGUUUGCUCAAGUUCAUGGGCCAGAUAUCCCAGUGGUCAGGGAGUUUCAUGAAUGAGAUGGAACUUUGCAUGGAACCCGAGGGAUGUGUAUGAUUUGAGUAGAUGAAGAAAAUGAGACUUUCCAAGCAGCUAGAAGUUAGGGAGCAGCAAGAUGUGUGGUGGGAUUGAGCACAGUUGGUUCAGAGGAUAGACUGCAGUUUUAAUAAUUUGUAGUAAAUAUCUCCCAACUGUUUGGCACUAUUGGAGCAAGUUCUUGAAUGCCAAAUGAAGGCAUAAAUCAGUAAGAGGCAUAAUAAAAGGCUGAGCAGUGCUUGGCUUUUUACGAACUGAUCCUGAUAGGAGCAGCUGUUCAACAAAGUUGCCAGGUCACCGUUACAUAGUCCCUGCCUUCUAGGGGCUCACUGCCUACUGGGAGAGACAGUCUGAAAGUUGGUGGAGCAUGUAACUGUUGGAUGAGGAGUUUGAGCCUGUGGACUGUGGGACCCCCGAGGAGGGUGUGGCUACUCUAGGCAGAACAAUCCCACAGUUUAUUUAUAUUUAACCUUGAAAUUCAUUAGAGGAUUUUUCAGCAGAGGUUUGGUACUUGUUAAUGUUAAGGUUUGCAUUCUCUAGAACCUCAAGGAAAGCUGUACCGUGCAUAAUGUACCCUCUUAUGUUAAUGUUGUGUACUGUGAUCCUGUUUCAGGGACUUGCACUUAGGAAUCUGUUACAGUGAGCACAGAAGCAGACCUGUGGGCUCAUAGUCUUCACCCCCCACCCAUAUAUACAAGAUGAACAGAGUGGAGGUUAAACAACUUGACUAAACAACACAGUUCAUGGUAAAGCCCAAGACUGUACCUGCCCAUCCACUGCCUUUUCCAUGUAUCCUGGAACUGAGCAUAGACCUCUUCCCAGGCAGAGCUGACAGCAAGUAAAGGAGAUCAUAAUCAGGGGACCAAACAACUUUGUCUAAAGUGUGAAUGUCACCUAAGGAGAAGCUGUGAGAUCAGAAGGGUGGGGCAGAGGAGCAGACACCAUGAGGGAGAGUCCUUGGGGGUACAUCUGCCAGACUGACACUGUCUGGCCUGGGCAGUGGAGGGGCUAGCAGGAACCACAGGUACUGGUGGUGUGGCUACUACCGUUACAACUGCCUGUGCUUGGACAUGGACCCUCUGCAAUAUGCGGCAGUUUCAUUCAUUGCCCCCUACAUUCUACACCAAGUAGAAAUGGAAGGCAAUUGGAUACUUCACAGACAAGAUCUAAGUGGAGAAGGAAUGCGUCCUGUGGCUGCAGAGAUCCUUGGAGCUUGGAGGGGAGAGCUUGAGCCCCACUGAUGAUGACCUCCCACAGCUCGCCAACUCAGCCCUCCCUAAGUCCCCAUCGGGGGCCAAUUCUCACUCUGGGGUUGGGGGGACUCCACCAUAGCUCAUCCAUCAUAGGGAUGUUGGUAUCUACUGUGGGUUGGGUAGGGCCGAUGUGCUGAGGAUGGCUCCCCCACAAGCAAGAGAUGUGGAUUUGGGGAGCUUCCCAUCUUGUGUUGAAGGAACAUAACUCAGAAUAAUAAGAGCCAACUAUAACAAACCCACAGCCAACAUCAUACUGAAUGGGCAAAAGCUGCAGGCAUUCCCCUUGAAAAGUGGCACAGGAUAAGGAAGCCCUUUCUCACCACUCCUAUUCAAUAUAGUGUUGAAAGUCCUGAUCACAGCAGUCAGGCAACAGAAAUAAUAAAGGGCAUCCAAAUAGGAAGAGAGGAAGUCAAACUAUCCUUGUUUGCAGACAGUAUGAUUCUAUAUCUAGAAAACCCCAUAGCCUCAGCCCAAAAGGUCCUUCAUCUGAUAAUUUCAGCAAAGUUUCAGGAGACAAAAUCAGUGUACAAAAAUCACUAACAUUCCUAUACACAGUCGCCAAGCCAAGAGCCAAAUCAGGAGCACAAUCCCAUUCAUAAUUGCCACAAAAAAGAAUAAAAUACCCAGGAAUGCAGCUAACCAAGGAAGUAAAGGAUCUCUACAAUGAGAAUCACAAACGCUGCUCAAAGAAAUCAGAGAUGACACAAACAAAUGGAAAAACUUUCCAUGCUCAUGGCUAGGAAGAAUCAAUAUCAUUAAAGUGGCCAUACUACCCAAAGCAAUUUAUAGAUUCAAUGCUAUUCCUAUCAAACUAUCAAUUACAUUUUUCACAGAACUAGAAAAAACUUAAAAUUCAUAUGGAACCAAAAAGCCUGAGUAGUCAAGGCAAUCCUAAACAAAAAGAACAAAGGUGGAGGCAUCACAUUACCUAACUUCAAACUACAGGGCUACCAUGACCAAAACAGCAUGGUACUGGUACAAAAGCAGACACACAGACCAGUGGGACAGAAUAGAGAGCCCAAAAAUAAGGCCACAAACCUACAGCCAUCUGAUCUUCAACAAAGUUGACAAAAACAAGCAAUGGGGAAAGGUCUCCCUAUUCAAUAAAUGGUGCUGGGAUAACUGGCUGGCCAUAUGCAGAAGAUCGUAACUGGACCCCUUUUACUAUGUACAAAAAUUAAGAUGGUUUAAAGAGUUAAAACCCAAAAUUAUAAAAAUCCUGAAGAUAACUUAGGCAAUACCAUUCUGGACAUAGGAACUGGCAAAUAUUUCAUGAUGAAGACACCAAAAGCAAUUGUAACAAAAGCAAAAAUGGACAAAUUGGAUUUAAGAGCUUUUUCAUAGCAAAAUAAACAACAGGGCAGACAAUCUACCAAAUGACAGAAAAUUUUUGCAAACUAUGCAUCUGACAAGGGGCUAAUAUCUAGCAUCUAUAAGGAAUUUAAACACAGUUACAGGAAAAAAAAAACCCACUCCAUUAAAAAAUGGGCAAAGGACAUGAACAGACACUUUUCAAAAAAGACAUACAUACAGCCAACUAGCGUGUUAAAGAAAACCUCAAUUAUCACUGAUCAUUAGAGAAAUGCAAAAUCAAAACCAUGAUGAGAUAUCAUCUGCCAGUCAGGAUGGCUACAAAAAAGUAAAAAAAUAAUAGAUGUUGGUGAGGUUAUGGAGAAAAGGAACUUAUACACUUGUUAGGAGUGUAAAUUAGUUCAAUCACUGUGGACAGCAGUGUGGUGAUUCCUCAGAGAGCUAAAAACAACUACCAUUUGACUCACCAAUCCCAUUACUGGAUAUUUACCUAAAGGAAUAUAAAUCAUUCCACCAUAAAGACACAUGCAAGUGUAUGUUCAUUGCAGCACUAUUAACAGUAACAAAGCUGGGCACAGUGGCUCACCUCACGACUGUAAUCCCAGCACUUUGGGAGGCUGAGGUAGGCGGAUCACCUGAGGUCGGCAGUUUGAGACCAGCCUGACCAACAUGGAGAGACCCCAUCUCUACUAAAAAUACAAAAUUAGCCAGGUGUGGUGGCUCAUGCCUGUAAUCCCAGCUACUUGGGAGGCCAAGGCAGGAGAAUUGCUUGAACCCAGGAGGCAGAGGUUGCAGUGAGCCGAGAUCACACCAUUGCACUCUAGCCUGGUGAAGGAGCAAGACUCCAUCUCAAAAAAAAAAAAAAAAAAGAAAGAAAGAAAAAUACACAUUCAGAGGAGACAAAAAAUAAAAAACAAUGAUGCAUGCCCACAGGAUCUAGAAAAUAACUUCUUAAGGGCAAAUCUAGGAGUUAUUGGCCUUAAAGAAGAGAUAGAGAAAGAGAUAGGAAUAGAAAGUUUGUUGAAAGGGAUAAUAACAUAGAACUUCCUAAACCUACAGAAAGAUAUUUAUAUCCAAGUACAAGAAGGUUAUAGAACACCAGGCCAAUUUAACCCAAAGAUUACCUCAAGGCAUUUAAUAAUCAAACUCCCACAGGACAAGGGUAAAGAAAGGAUCCUAAAAGCAGCAAGAGAAAAGAAACAGAUAACAUACAAUGGAGCUCCAAUACAUCUGGCAGUAUAUUUUUCAGUGGAAACCUUACAAGCCAGGAGAGAGUGACAUGACAUAUGUUAAAGUGCUGAAGGGAAAAAACCUUUUACCCUAGAAUAGUAUAUCCAGCAAAAAUAUCCUUCAAACAUGAAGAAUAAACAAAGACUUCCCCAGACAAACAAAAGCUGAGGGAUUUCAUCAACACUAGACUGGUCCCAUAAGAAACGCUUAAGGGAGUACUUUGGUCAGAAAGAAACAGACAUUAAUGAGCAACAAAGAAUCAUCUAAAGGUAAAAAACUCACUGUUAAGAGUAAGUACACAGAAAAACCCAAAGUGUGAUAACAUUGUAACUGUGGUGUGUAAGUAGAAAGAAUAAAUGAUAAACCAAUCAAAAAUAGUAACUACAACUUUUCAAGACCAGUCAGAAAAAUAAGAUAAAAUUAGAAACAACAAAAAGUUAAAAAGUGGGGGGAUGAAGUUAAGAUGUAGAGUUUUUAUUAGUUUUUUGUUUGUUAAUGCAAACAGUGUUACCAGGUUAAAAUAAUGGGUUACAAAAUAGUAUUUGUAAUCCUUAUGGUAACCUCAAACCUAAAAACAUACACUGGAUACAUAAAAAAUAAAAAGCAAAAACCUAAAUCAUAUCACCAGAGCAAACUACCUUCCCUAAAGGAAGACAGGAAGAAAAGAAAGAAGAAGACCACAAAACAACCAGAAAACAAAUAAAUAACAAGGCAGGAGUAAGUCUUUACUUAUCGAUAAUACAUUGAAUGGAAAUAUGGACUAAACUCUCCAAUCAAAAGACAUAGACUGGCUGAAUGAAUGGAGAAAACAAGACCCAUUGAUCUGUUGCCUACAAGAAACACACUUAAACUAUAAAGACACACAUAGGCUGAAAGUAAAGAGUUGGAAAGAGUUAUUCCAUGCCAAUGGAAACCAGGAAAAAGAGAAGGAGUAUUGAUUUUGAUACAAAAACUAUGAGACAAAUAAAGUCACUAUACAAUGAUAAAGGGGUUAAUAUGGUUUCCAUUUGUGCCCCACCCAAAUUUCGUGUUCUAUUGUAAUCCUCAAUGUUGGAGGUGGGGCCUGGUGGGACGUGAUUAGAUCAUGGGGGUGGAUCUUUCAUGACUAAUUCAGCACCAUCUUCUUAGUGCUGUUCUCAUGAUAGUGAGUUCUUCUGAAAUCUGGUUGCUUAAAAGUGUGUAGCACCUCUCCACACCACCCGCUUGCCUUGGUCUACUCCUGCUAUGUAGAUGCUUGCUCCCACUUUGCAUUAUUCCAUGAGUAAAAGCUCCCUCAGGCCUUCCCAGAAUCAGAUGCCGCUAUGCUUCCUGAACAGCCUGUGGAACUAUGAGCCAAUUCAACCUCUUUUCUUCAUAAAUUAACAAGUCUUGGGUAUUUCUUUAUAGCAGUGUGAGAACAGAAUAAUACAGAAAAUUGGUAAAGAGGAGUGAGGCAUUGCUAGAAAGAUACCUGAAAAUGUGGAAACAGCAGUGGAACUGGGAAAUAGACAGAGGUUGGAAGAGUGUGGAGGGCUCCGAAGAUAGGAAGAUGAGGGGAAGUUUGGAAUUUCUUAGAGAUUUGUUAAAUUGUUUUGACCAAAAUACUGAUGGUGAUAUGGACAAUGAAGUCCAGGCUGAGGAGGUCUCAGAUGGAGAUGAGGGACUUAUUGGGACCUGGAGUGAAGGUCACUUUUGUUAGGACAUUGUGGUUGGAGACAUUGUGCCCCUGCCCUAGGAAUCUGUGGAACUUUGAACUUGAGAGCGAAGAUUUAGGGUAUCUGGCAGAAGAAAUUUCUAAGCAGCAAAGCGUUCAAGACGUGGCCUGGCUGCUUCUGGUAGUCUGUGCUCAUAUUUGUGAGCAAAGACAUGACAAGAAACUGGAACUUAUAUUUAAAAAGGAAGCAGAGUGUAAAAGUUUGGAGAAUUUGCAGCCUGGCCAUGUUGUAGAAAAGAAAAAAACCAUUUUCUGGAGAGGAAUUCAAGCUAGCUGCAGAAAAUUGCAAGUAACAAGGAGCAAAAUGUUGAUAGCCAAGAUAGUGGGAAAAACACCUUGAAGGCAUUUCAGAUACCUUGGGGGCAGCCUCUCCCAUCACAGGCCCAAAGGCCUAGGAGGGAAGGAUGGUUUCCUGGGCCAGGCUCAGGGUCCUGCUGCCCUGCACAACCUCAGGAAACUGCUCUCCAAAUCCCAGCUGCUCCAGCUCCAGCUUCAGCUCAAAGGGCCCCAGGUAUAGCUCAGGCUGCUGCUCCAUAGGAUGCAAGUUAUAAGCCUUAGUGGCUCCCGUGUGGUGUUAAAUUAAGCCUGUAGGUGCACAGAGUGCAAGAAUUGAGGCUUGGGAGCCUCCAACUAGAUUUCAGAGUAUGUGUGGGAAAGCCUGGAUGUCCAGGCAGAAGCCAGCUGCAGGGACAGAGCCCUCAUGGAGAACCUCUACUAGGGUAGUGUGGAGGGGAAAUUUGGGGUUGGAGUUCCCACACAGCUUCCCCUCUGGUGUACUGCCUAGUGGAGCUGUGAGAAGACAGCCACUGUCCUCCAGAUUCCAGGAUGAUAGAUCUGCCAAUGACAGCUUGCACUGUACAACUGGAAAAGCCACAGGCAGUCAAUGCCAGCCCGUGAAAGCAGUGACAGUGGCUUACCCUGCAAAGUCCCAGGGGCUGAGCUGCCCAAGGCCUUGGGAGCCCACCCCUUGCACCAGUGUGCCCUGGAUGUGAGAUAUGGAGUCAAAGGAGAGUAUUUUGGAGCUUUAAGAUUUAAUGACUACCUGCUGGGUUUCAGACUUGCAUGGGUCCAGUAGCCCCUUUCUUUUGGCCAAUUUCUCACUUUUGGAAUGGGAGUGUUUACCCAAUUCCUGUACCCCCACUGUAUGUUGGAAGUAACUAACUGUUUUUUUAUUUUGUAAGCUCACAGGUGGGAGAGACUUGCCUUGUCUCAGGUUGAGACUCUGGACUUUGGACUUUUGAAUUAAUGCUGGAAUGAGUUAAGACUUUGAGGGACUGUUGGGAAGAUAUAACUGUAUUUUGCAGUAUGAGAAGGACAUGAGAUUUGGGAGACACCAGAGGUGGAAUAAUAUGAUUUGGAUCUGCAUCCCCACCAAAAUCUCAUGUUCAAUUGUAAUCCUAAAUUUUGGAGGUUGAGCCUGGUGGAAGAGGAUUGGAUAAUGGGGGUGGUUUCUCAUGGUUUAACACCAUCCCCCUGGGUGCUGUUCUCAUGACAGUGAGUGAGUUAUUGUGAGAUCUGAUUGUUUAAAAGUGUGUGCCACCUCCUCCCACUUUCCUCCUGCUCCAGCCAUGUAAGACAGGCUUGCCUCCCCUUCACCUUUUGUCAUGAUUGUAAGUGUUCUGAGGCCUCCCCAGCCAUGCUUCCUGUACAGCCUGCAGAACUGUGAGCCAAUUAAACCUCUUUUCUCUAUAUAUUACCCAGUCUCGGGUAUUUCUUUAUAGCAGUGCAAGAAUAGACUAAUACAGGGUUCAAUUCAGCAAGAGGAUAUAACAAAUAUAAAUAUAUAUGCACUCAACACUGCAGCACCCAGAUAUAUAAAGCAAAUACGAUUAGAGCUAAAGAGAGAGAGUGACCCCAAUACAAUAAUAGCUGGAGACUUCAACACCACAUUUUCAGCACUGGACAGAUCUUCCAGACAGAAAAUAAAAAAGAAACAUCAGACUUAAUCUGCACUGUAGAUCAAAUGGAUCUAAUACAUACUUGCAGAACAUUUUAUCCAAUGGCUGCAGAAUACACAUUCUUUUUUAGCACAUGUAUCAUUCUCAAGGAUAGACCAUAUGUUAGGUCACAAGUCUUAAAACAUUAAAAAAGUUGAAUACCAUCAAGCAUCUUCUCUGACCACAGUGGAAUACAACUAGAAACUAAUAACAAGAGGAAUUUUUGAAACUACAAAUACAUGAAAAUUAAACAAUAUGCUCCUGAAUGACCAUUGAGUCAAUGAAGAAAUUAAGAAGGAAAUUGAACAAUUUCUUGAAACAAAUGAUAAAGGAAACACAACAUACCAAAACCUAUGGGAUACGGCAAAAGCAGUACUAAGAGGCAAAUUGAUAGCUAUAAGUGCCUACAUGAAAAAAGAGGAAAAACUUCAAAUAAGCAAUUUAACAAUGAACCUUAACCAGAAAAGCAAGAGCAAAACAAACACAAAAUUAGAAGAAAACAAAUAAUAAAAAUUAGAGCAUAAAUAAAUAAAAUUGAAAUAAAAAUCAAUGCAAAAGAACAAUGAAACAAAAAGUUGCUUUUUUUCAAAAGUUAAACAAAACUGACAAGCCUUUAGCAAGACUGAGAAAAAAGAGACAAGAUACAAAUCAGAAAUGAAAAAGACAUUACAACUGACACUGCAGAAAUUCAAAGGAUCAUUAGGGGCUACUAUGAGCAACUCUAUGCCAAUAAAUUGGAAAAUCUAGAAGAAAUUGACAAUUCCUAGACACAUACAACCUACUGAGACUGGACCAGGAAGAAAUCCAAAACCUGAACAGACUAAUAACAAGUAACAAGGUUGAAGCCAUAAUAAAAAGUCUCCCACUAAAGAAAACCAAGGACCCGAUGGCUUCACUGUUGAAUUCUACCAAACAUUUAAAGAAGAACUAAUACCAAUCCCACUCAAGCUAUUGAAAAAUAGAGGAGGAGAGAAUAUUUCCAAAGUCAUUCUAGGAGACCAGUAUCACCCUGAUACCAAAACCAGACAAAGACACAUCAAAAAAAGAAAACUGCUGGCCAAUUUCUCUGAUGAAUAUUGAUGCCAGAAUCCUCAGCAAAAUAUUAGCAAACUAAAUUCAACAAUACAUUAAAAAGAUCAUUCAUCAGGGUCGGGUGCAGUGGCUUAAGCCUCUAAUCCCAGCACUUUGGGAGGCCGAGGUGGGCAGAUCACCUGAGGUCAGGAGUUCAAGACCAGCCUGACCAACAUGGUGAAACCUCGUCUCUACUGAAAAUACAAAAUUAGCCGAGUGUGGUGGUGCAUGCCUGUAAUCCCAGCUACUCAGGAGACUGAGGCAGGAGAAUCACUUGAACCCAGGAGGUGGAGGUUGCAGUGAGCUGAGAUUGUGGCACUGCACUCCAGCCUUGGUGACAGAGUGAGACUCCAUUAAAAAAAAAAUCAUUUAUCAUGACCAAGUGGGAUUUAUCCCUGGAAUGCAAGGAUGGUUCAACACAUGCAAAUCAAUCAAUGUAAUACAUCAUAUCAAAAAGAAUGAUUAAAACCAUAUGAUUAUUUCUAUUGAUGCUGAAAAAGUAGUUUAUAAAAUCCAACAUCCCUUCAUGAUAAAAACCCUCAAAAAACUGUAUAAAAGAAAUAUACCUCAACGUAAUAGCCAGAUAUGACAGACCCACAGCUAGUAUCAUACUGAAUGGGGAAAAAGUGAAAGACUUUCCUAUAAGAUCUGGAACACAACAGGGAUGUUCACUGUCACCACUGUUAUUCAACAAAGUACUGGAUGUUCUAGCUAGAGCGAUCAGACAAGAGAAGAUAUAAAGGCCAUCCAAACUGGAAAGGGAGAAGUUAAAUUACCCUAGUUUGCAGAUGAUAUGAACUUAUAUUUGGAAAAAACCUAAAGGCUCCACAGGAAAACUAUUAGAAUCAAUAAAUUCAGUAAAGUUGCAGGACACAAAAUCAACAUAUAAAAACCAGUAGCAUUUCUAUAUGUCAACAGUGAACAAUUUGAAAAAUUUUAAAUUUAAGAAGGUAAUUUCAUUUACAAUAGCCACACAUAAAAUUAAAUACCUAGGAAUUAACCAAAAAUGUGCAAGAUAUCUAUGAGGAGAAUUAUAAAACAUUGAUGAAAGAAAUUGAAGAGGACACAAAAAAAAUGGAAAAAAUUCCAUCUUUAUGGAUUGGAAGAAUCAAUAUUGUUAAAAUGUCCAUACUACCCAAAGCAAUCUACAGAUUUAAUGCAAUCCCUAUCAAAAUACCAAUAAUAGUCUUCAGAGAAAUAGAAAAAAAAAUCCCAAAAUUUAUAUGAAAACACAGAAUGCCCAGAAUAGCCAAAAUUAUAUUAAGCAAAAAGAUCAAAACUGGAGGAAUCACAUUACCUGACUUCAAAUUAUGCUACAGAGCUAUAAUCACCAAAACAGCAUGGUACUGACAUAAAAACAGACACAUAGUCCAACAGAACAGAAUAGAGAACCUAGAAACAAAUCCACACACUCACAGGGAACUCAUUUUUGACAGAGUUGCCAAGUACUUAUACUGGAGAAAAGAAAAGACAGUCUCUUCAAUGAAAUGGUGCUGGGAAAACUGGAUAUCCAUAUGCAGAAGAAUGAAACUAGACCCCUACCUCUCACUGUAGACAAAAGUCAAAUCAAGGCUAGGCAUGGUGGCUUACACCUGUAAUCUCAGCACUUUGGGAGGCUGAGGCAGGCGUAUCACGAGGUGAAGAGAUUGAGACCAUCCUGACCAACAUGGUGAAACUCACCCCCCCCCACCCACUAAAAAUACAAAAAUUAGCUGGGCGUGAUGGCAUGUGCCUGCAGUCCUAGCUACUCAGGAGGCUGGGGCAGGAGAAUCGCUUGAACCCAGGAGGUGGAGGUUGCAGUGAGCUGAGAUUGUGCCACUGCACUCCAGCCUGGCGACAGAGCAAGACUCCAUCUCAAAAAAUAAAAAAUAAAUUCAAAAUGUAAUAAAGACUUAAAUCUAAGACCUCAAACAUGAAACUACUAUAAGAAAACAUUGGGGAAAACCUCCAGGACAGUAGUCUGGCCAAAAAUUUCUUGAGCAAUACCCCACAAGCACAGGCAACCAAAAUAAAACUGGACAAAUAGUAUCACAUCAAGUUUAAAAGCUUCUACAAAGCAAAGGAUACAAUCAAUAAAGAGACAACCCACAGAAUGGGAGAAAAUAUUUGCAAACUACCCAUCUGACAAAGAAAUAAUAACCAGAGUAUAUAAGAAGCUCAAACAACUCUAUAGUAAAAAAAAAAAAAAAAAAAAUUCUAAAAGUCUAAGUAAAAAAAUGGGCAAAAGAUUUGAAUAGACAUUUCUCAAAAGAAGACAUACAGGCCAUGCGUGGUGGCUCAUGCCUGUAAUCCCAGCACUUUGGGAGGCCCAGGCGGGUGGAUCACUUGAGGUCAGGAGUUCGAGACCAGCCUGACCAACAUUGUGAAACUCCGUCUCUACUAAAAAUACAAAAAUAAGCCAGGCAUGGUGGCGCACACCUGUAAUCCCAGCUACUCAGGAGGCUGAGGCAGGAGAAUCGCUUAAACCUGGGAGACAGAGGUUGCAGUAAGCCGAGAUCACACCACUGCACUCCAGCCUGGGCAACAAAGUGAGACUCCGUCUCACAAAAAAAAAAAAAAAAAAAAAAAAAAAAGAAAAGAAAAAGGAAGAAGACAUACAAAGCCAGGUACAGUGGCUUAUGCCUCUAAUCCUAGCACUUUAGGAGGCCAAGGCAGAUGGAAUUGAGCCCAGAAGUUUGAGACCAGACUGAGCAAUAUGGUCAAACCCCAAUUCUGCAAAAUACAAAAAUAAAAAAUAGCUGGGAGUGGUGGUGCACACCUGUAGUCCCAGCUACUUAGGAAGCUGAGAUGGGAGGAUCACUUGAGCCUGCAGUGAAUCAUAAUUGCACCAAUGCACUCCAGCCUGGGCGACAGAGUGAGAGACAUUGUCUCAAAAAAAAGAAAAAGAAAAAAAAGAAAGGACAUAAAAAUGACAAACAGGCAUAUGAAAAGGUGCUGAUGAUUAUUGAUCCUCAGAGAAAUGCAAAUCAAAACUGCAAUGAGAUAUAAUCUCACCCCAGUUAAAAUGGCUUAUAUCCAAAAGACAGGCAAUAACAAAUGCUGGUGAGGAUGUGGAUAAAAGGGAACCCUCGUACACUGUUGAUGGGAAUGUAAAUUAGUACAACCACUAUGGAUAACAGUUUAGAGGUUCCUCAGAAAACUAAAAAUUGAGUUGCGAUAUGAUGCAACAAUCCUACUGCUGGGUAUAUACCCCACAAAAGACAAAACCAGCGUUUUGCAUGGUGGCUCACACCUGUAAUCCCAGCACUAUGGGAGGCCGAGGAGGGCAGAUCACUUGAGCCCAGAAGUUCAAGACCAGCCCGAGCAACAUGGCAAAACCUGAUUUCUACAAAAUACAAAAAAAAAAUUAGGCAGUUGUAGUGGUUCACACCUAUAGUCCUAGCUACUGUGGAGGCUGAGGUAGGAUCACUUGAACCUAGGAGGUGGAGGUUGCAGUGAGCCAAGAUCAUGCCACUGCACUCCAGCCUGGGUGACAAAGUGUGACCCUGUCUCAAAAAAGAAAAUCAGUAUAUGGAAGAGGUAUCUGCACUCCUAUGUUUUUUACAACACUGUUUACAAUAGCUAAGAUUUGGAAGCAACCUAAAUGUCUAACAGCAGAUGAAUGGAUAAGGAAAAUUUGGUAUGUAUACACAAUGAAGUACUAUUCAGCCAUAAAAAGGAAUGAGAUCCAGUCAUUUGCAACAGCAUGGAUGGAAGUGGAGAUCAUUAUGUUAAAUGAAAUAAGCCAGGCACAGAAAGGCAAACAUGGCAUGUUCUCACUUAUUUGUGGGACCUAAAUUCAAAACAAUUGAACUAAUGGACAUAAAGAGUAGAAGAAUGGUUACCAGAGGCUAGGAAUGGUAGUGGGGGGCUGAAGGGAAGGUGGGGAUGUUUAAUCGGUAAAAAAAAAUUUAGAAGAAUAAGACCUACUAUUUGAUAGCACAAUAGGGGGACUAUAGUCAAUAAUGCACAUUUAAAAAUAGUGUAAUUGAAUGGUUUGUAACUCAAAGGAUAAAUGCUUGAGGGAAUGGAUACCCCAUUCUCCAUGAUGUGCUUAUUUCACAUUGCAUACCUGUAUCAAAACAUCUCAUGUACCCCAUAAAUAUAUGCAGCUAUUAUGUACCCAC